CCUACGGGAGGCAGCAGUGAGGAAUAUUGGUCAAUGGGCGCGAGCCUGAACCAGCCACGUCGCGUGAGGGAAGAAUGACCUACGGAUUGUAAACUUCUUUUGUAAAGGAAUAAAGUGACGCUCGUGUGCCUUUUUGUAUGUACUUUAUGAAUACGGAUCGGCUAACUCCGUGCCAGCAGCCGCGGUAAUACGGAGGUUCCGAGCGUUAUCCGGAUUUAAUGGGUUUAAAGGGAGAUUAGAUGGGUUGUCAAGUCAGUUGUGAAAGUUUGCGGCUCAACCGCAAAAGUGCAAUUGAGACUGGCUGUGUUGAGUACAGGAGAGGUAGGCGGAAUUCGUGGUGUAGCGGUGAAAUGCUUAGAUAUCACGAAGAACUCCGAUUGCGAAGGCAGCCUACUAAACUGCAACUGACGUUGAGGCUCGAAAGCGUGGGGAGCAAACAGGAUUAGAUACCCUUGUAGUC
rnacentral:rRNA from 1 species